UAAUCACUUUAUUCCAAAAAUAGAGGUUAAGCACUUUUCCAGCAGCUCGCACGCCCUCAGAUCCACAGAGUUCGGAUCACGUCACAGGAGCCAACACACUCACACAGACACACACAGACCAAGGCAUCACUAUUACCAUGUUCUCUAUGCCAUGAAAGAAUAUCAUUAGUUAAGGAUAUUUUAGGUUAUCAGGGAGUUAAAGUUAAAAGCUUUUACCCACUGGAAGAUUUCAAUUAGUUAUGGAUAUUUCUGGUACUCAAUAGAAAAACAUUAUUAAUCUGGUUAUCAAGGAGUUAAUAAUUGGUGAUCUUUAACCCAGUAGCUGCGGGGAUCAUGUUUCUUAAUGGUCUGUCUAAGUGAGAAAAAUGAGAAAAAAUCAUUACUCACACGAACCAUUUCAUAAUAUAUAUCAAAGCAUUUGUGAUCAGUUUAUGCAUCAUCUAUUUUUGGGGGUUUAUAUCAUGGUACAAAUUUGGCCCUUUGCUGCUACAUGGUAAAGCCACAAAUUUGGCCCGUCACUGCUACACGGUAAAGCCACAAAUUUGGCCCGUCACUGCUACACAGUAAAGCCACAAAUUUGGCCUGUCACUGCUACAUGGUAAAGCCACAAAUUUGGCCCGUCGCUGCUACACGGUUUAAGUUAGCCAUUGGAAGAUUUUUAAGGAUAUUUCUGGUAGUCAAUAAAAAAUCAUUAUCAACAUCAAUACCUGGUACCCAUUCACUGCUAGGUGGACAGGGGCGUAGGGUAUCGGAGAAGUCACCCAAAUUUUUCCACUCCGCCCGGGAAUCGAACCCGGGGCAAUGAAAUUUAGAUGACAAAAUACAAGAGCUAACUGAGCCUUGAAAAACGUUCUUAACAUCAUCUGCUUUGAACAUUCACAAGCUGGAUGGAGGAGACUCACAGAGAGGGGUUAUGGUGCACCAGCGUUACCAAAUUAUCGCACGUUGUAUUUUCUGGUUUCUGAGUCACAGCUAUCGCAAACAAACACCGAUAAGUUACGCUUUUAACGAUAACUUUAACUGGAAUCUCGUUAUCUAUGUGGGUAGGAGAGUUUUGGGCCCUGGAACUUAUAAAUGUGAUGUUUUGAGUACGAUAAUAUGGUAACACUUAUAAAAUACAUACAGAUACACUACCGGGUAAUUCAAGACCAUAAACUUAACCCGGUAGCAGCGAUGAGCCAAAUUUGCGGCUUUACCAUGUACCAGCGACAGGCCAAAUUUUUGCCAUGAUAAAGCCUAACCCACCAAAAAUAGAUGAUGCAUAAACUCAUCACAAAUGCGUUGAUAUAUAUAUUAUGAAGUGGUGUGCGAGAGCGGUGAUUUUUUCUCAUUAAUUCGCUUAGAGGGGCCUUUAAGAAACAUGAUCCACGCAGCUACCGGGUUAACUAGAAUCUCGUUAUCUGUGUGGGUGGAAGAGUUUUGGGCCCUGGAACUUAUAAAUGCGAUGUUUUGAGUACGAUAAUAUGGUAACACUUAUAAAAUACAUACAGAUACACUACCGGGUAAUUCAAGACCAUAAACUUAACCCGGUAGCAGCGAUGAGCCAAAUUUGCGGCUUUACCGUGUACCAGCGACAGGCCAAAUUUUUGCCAUGAUAAAGCCUAACCCACCAAAAACAGAUGCAUAAACUAAUCAUAAAUUCGUUGAUAUAUACUAUGAGAUGGUUUGCGUGAGUGAUGAUAUUUUCCCAUUUUACUCGCUAAGAGGGACCUUUAAGAAACAUGAUCCACGGAGCUACUGGGUUAAUACAAUCCCAUCACGGCACCCAAAACACAAACUGGUGACUUGGUGUGUGUGUGUGUGUGCGCUGCCCGGCUCUGGAUAACUCACAGCUUCAUCCACACAGCUGGUCAUUGUAUAGUGUAUGGAUUGCACUGUUAAGACACUUGUAUACCACUAAAUGAUACAAAACACAUGUAUCAUUUUAUACUUAAAUUUCAAAGUACAAAUACACAGCCUGAAUAAGUGAAUUUUCUCAGCUUGGUUACAAAUCUAGCCCAGUUGCUUGCCUUCCCUUGUGGGCUGGUCGAUAAUUGGGUACCUGGGGACACCUAGGGAAGGUAAACUGUGGUGUCCUGUGUCUCAAGGUAAUGGGAACCUGGAGAAGGAAAACUAUGGUGCCCUGUGUCUCAAGGUAAUGGGUUCUCGUCCCCCGCCCUGUGUCUCAAGGUAAUGGGUUCUUGCCCCCAAAGGACCCUGGAGAAGGUAAACUGUGGUGUGCUGUGUCUCAAGGUAAUGGGUUCUCGUCCCCCACAGGAUCCUGGAGAAGGUAAACUGUGGUGUGCUGUGUCUCAAGGUAAUGGGUUCUCGUCCACCACAGGAUCCUGGAGAAGGUAAACUGUGGUGUGCUGUGUCUCAAGGUAAUGGGUUCUCGUCCCCCACAGGAUCCUGGAGAAGGUAAACUGUGGUGUGCUGUGUCUCAAGGUAAUGGGUUCUUGCCCCCCACAGGAUCCUGGAGAAGGUAAACUGUGGUGUGCUGUGUCUCAAGGUAAUGGGUUCUUGGCCUCACAGGAUCCUGGAGAAGGUAAACUGUGGUGUGCUGUGUCUCAAGGUAAUGGGUUCUUGGCCCCACAGGAUCCUGGAGAAGGUAAACUGUGGUGUGCUGUGUCUCAAGGUAAUGGGUUCUUGGCCCCUACAGGAUCUUGGAGAAGGUAAACUGUGGUGUGCUGUGUCUCAAGGUAAUGGGUUCUUGCCUCCCAAAAGCUACAGGGGCAGAGAUGAACACCAGGGCCACACUCAGCUAGUAUAGUAUGUGCCCCAAACUUUGCCUAAUCCACAUGAAAACAGGGUGAAAAUACACAAUGAACUGACCCUCAAAAUUAGUACUCUUACAUAAAUUCAACUCCAUAAAUUCUAAAAAAGACGUAUAAUAUGAAGAAAGAGCAGAUCUAUAGUCUUCCAAAUAUGUUGAGGGCGGUCUGGUGUAGGCUCCCAUGGGUCCUUUCCUCCCUUCUACUCUGCCACACAGUCCGAACACUUAUCCCUACCUCUCAUAUGUAAGGUAAAGGUGACAUAUGAGAGGAAAAAAUAGGUGUUGGGACUGUGUGGCAGAGCAGAGGGGAGAAAUGGACCUGCGGGAGCCAACACCAAAAUGGACUUGUCAAUUUGGUUUCACUAAGGGUCGUUUUAUGAGACAUUUCGCCGCCCAAGAACACAUAUUUGACAAAGCUUUCAUAGGAGUUGUGGGCAUUUCCAGGGGUAGUUUUAUGACCCUGGUGGUAGUGUGACCUUUCUUCUGUACCAUGAACCUAGGAAACACAUAUUUGACAAAGCUUUCAUAGGAGUUGUGGGCAUUUCCAGAGGUAGUUUUAUGACCCUGGUGGUAGUUUCAUCCUUCCUCUGUACCCUGAGCAUAAAAAAACAAUCAUUAGAACCUGAUUGAUCCCCCCUUUGACCUUUAGAUAUAGCUGAUGUGAGAAGGCAAAGUGUCUUGUAAUACCAGCCGUUAACUCUUCCCUAGAAUUUUUGAGUAAUUAAUACAUAGUGUGUCACGGGGUACUGGGUCAAGGGCGGAGACAGAGAUGAGCACUGAGAACACAUACAUUUGGUACUGUACGAGCCUUUUACCUAACCAUUCAUCAUUUCACUGGAAUUUUUAAGUAAUUUAUACAUACUUAUAUACAUAAAUAAAACAAUGAAAUAUAUGAAAUACAGUAAAAGUUCACUAGUUCAUACCAUUUUUUUAUAUAUAUAAUUUUGACAACUCAGAUGUUGGACACCUGAUUUUCUUUGGAUUAUAAUUUCCUGCCUUGAAGAGUUCAGACUGAUGUUUUGGGGGAUGGGGUGCUGAUUUGUCAAUGGAGUAUCAGAUUCUCUCAACAGUGGAAUUCUGAUUAAGCCUCACUCUCUCAACUUAAGGGGCCAUUACACUGGGCAAACUUUCCGUGGAUCUUCAGUCAAACCACGAUUUUUGCUAGCGUGGUUCUCAUUUAUUUCUUGUUAUUGCAGCUGAUGAUGAUGGUGAGUAAUGCCGUCGUCCUUCAAGGAACUCUACCGUAGCUUUGGAAGAUCGUGGACAUGUCAGAAAACCAUGGAAAUAUGAGAACCACGCCAGCGGAAAUCGUGGUUUGACUGAAGAUCCACGGAAAAUUUGCCCAGUGUAACAGCCCCUUUAAACAGACCAUACAGGUAAGAAAAAUCCCUGAUAUAAUUUCCUGGAUAGUGAAACAUGAAAAAAAAUACCCAAGACUUGCACAAAAUUUCCUGAAGAUAUGAUUAACGAGUGAAGCAUUUGGUCAAUUCAACAGCAAUAAGAAUGACAAUAUUUCAGUGAAGAUAAUAAUAAUGUUGAUCAUACAAGAAGGAUAUCAACAGCGUCCCCAGCCCUCACCACUACAUCUUCAUACAGUUAGAACCAGGGGUGUGGAGUCGGAGAUAAAUUUUACGACUCCGACUCCGGGAAGUUUUUAAGGUGCGAAUCUGGCUCCGACUCCGGCCCCCAUGCCCCUCCCCCUCUAUUGCAAUUUAUUUAUUUAUUUUUUUUUUAUAGUUUUAAGAUGUGUUUCUCUCUCUCUCUCUCUUUCUCUGUAGUGCCGGUAGACUCCUUUGAGGUCCUUUUUCUUUCAUGUAUUUACAUCCAAAUUACGUGUACUCUUUAUAGACAACAUCCAGAUAAUGUAAAAGAAAAAAACUUCACAAUUACAUUACACGAUAAAUGAUUACGUUAAGGAGUCGGAGUCGGGGAUAGUUUUACCGACUCCGCCAACUCCGACUCCACACCCCUGGUUAAAACUCAUCCUCAGUCAGCCAUAUAUAAUAAGAUUGAUCCCGUAACAAUUCAUACGCAAACAAUGUGAAGAUAUACAACUGACCCUCACAAUUAGUACUCUUACAUACUUCAACUUCGUAAAUUCUAAGAUAAAUGUAUAAUCUGGAGAACAAGCAGAUCUACCUCUUCCUAAAACAUGAACCUUAGAUAUAUACAUUUGUUGUUAAUUAAAAGUAAUUUGUUUUAUAUUAACGAAACUAACACUUAACAGAUUAAAAUUAGCUACUGCUGCAACCUCGAUUACUUAGUUGUGUCUUAAGUUACUACAAAUAUCAUGCCUCUCAGAGAUUAGUUUGAUUUUUUGAGAAUUAUUACACCGAAAAAAAUAUAUAUAUAUAAUAAUAAUAAUAAUGAAACAAGUCUAGGAAUGCAUAUAAAAAGUCAUCUGUUCAUGCUGCCUGUGAGAAUCAGCACUUAACAUAACAUUCGUUGAGGAUUGAUUUACCGGAGAAAGGGAAUGAGAGAGUUGAUUUACUGAAUGACUGAAGAGAAAGGGAAUGAGAGAGUUGAUUUACUGAAUGACUGAAGAGAAAGGGAAUGAGAGAGUUGAUUUACUGAAUGACUGAAGAGAAAGGGAAUGAGAGAGUUGAUUUACUGAAUGACUGAAGAGAAGGGAAUGAGAGAGUUGAUUUACUGAAUGACUGAAGAGAAAGGGAAUGAGAAAGUUGAUUGACUGAAGAGAAAGGGAAUGAGGAAGUUGAUUUACUGAAGAGAAAGGGAAUGAGGAAGUUGAUUACUGAAGAGAAAGGGAAUGAGGAAGUUGAUUGAAGAGAAAGGGAAUGAGGAAGUUGAUUGACUGAAGAGAAAGGGAAUGAGGAAGUUGAUUACUGAAGAGAAAGGGAAUGAGGAAGUUGAUUACUGAAGAGAAAGGGAAUGAAGAAGUUGUUUACUGAAGAGAAAGGGAAUGAGGAAGUUGAUUGACUGAAGAGAAAGGGAAUGAAAAAGUUGAUUGACUGAAGAGAAAGGGAAUGAGGAAGUUGAUUGACUGAAGAGAAAGGGAAUGAGGAAGUUGAUUACUGAAGAGAAAGGGAAUGAGGAAGUUGAUUGACUGAAGAGAAAGGGAAUGAGGAAGUUGAUUUACUGAAGAGAAAGGGAAUGAGGAAGUUGAUUGACUGAAGAGAAAGGGAAUGAGGAAGUUGAUUACUGAAGAGAAAGGGAAUGAAAAAGUUGAUUUACUGAAGAGAAAGGGAAUGAGGAAGUUGAUAAAAAGUAGUCAAUGAUUGAUGUUUGCUUGUGAAAACUCUACAAUUCUUUUUCUUGAGAACAUUGGAGAAAAAAAGAAACAAUAUUAAUGAAAGCAGUCACAGGAUGAACAUAAAAAAAUAACUGGUUUGUUUACUCUGUCAAAUCUCGUUUUAUUAUUACAUUUAUUGAGAAUUCAUAUAUUGGACGGAAAUCGACGGAAGAGAUUCAUGGAAAAUGUCUCAGACUGCCGAUAAAAAACAAUUCAAUUUUUCGGCUCUUCUUAAGAUUACGAUUUGGGAUGUCUUAAGAUAACACGUUGUUCGCACACUGGACGGAGCGGGACGGAAUGGACUUGUGGGAGGAGGCCGUGGAAUGUGGACAAGAAAAUACAGGAGUUAACCGAGCCUUGAAAAAUGGUAAUGUUACAUAAUUUCAAUGCUCAAAGACUGGACGGAGAAGACUCACAGCAAAAGGUUAUGGUGCACACACUUAUAAAAUACAUACCAUAUAUAGGAGGCCGUGGAAUGUGGACAAGAAAAUACAGGAGUUAACCGAGCCUUGAAAAAUGGUAACGUUACGUAAUUUCAAUGCUCAAAGACUGGACGGAGAAGACUCACAGCAAAAGGCUAUGAUGCACACACUUAUAAAAUACAUACCAUAUAUACAUAAAUGAAUAAAACAUAAUAGAAAUAAAACAGAUUCUGCCUCGUGAUAAAAGUGUGACCUUACAGCAUUGUCGAGAUGAAUAAAAACAAGUCUGCCCUGGUAUAAAAGGGCCUUCGUACAACACACUCUCCCAACAUAAAAACAAUGGAGGGUGUGAUGGGUUUGUCCAACGGGUCUCCCUGGUGACAACUUAUUCCUUCACUUCACCAGGCAUUCCUUCCCUAAACAUUCACCACUGCAAUAAGUUAGUAGGAAUGGAAUCCAAGUUUGUCAGUAUGGUACAAAUGAGUGGAAUUACAGUAUGAGUCCUCUAUUUCAUCAGAGUUCCCCUUACUGUACCCAUAAAACCUUCCUUCUGUUAAGAGUAAAACUAACACUACUGUAAUAGGUUAGUAGGAAUGUAAUGCAGUCUUAAAUAUUACGUCUAUGGUCCUUGUAACAAACUGGAGCUCGUUCCGGCAACUGUCAAAAGCAGUUCUCACAAGGUCACAACACACUUUCCUGAAUCAUUAGUAGGAAUGUGUUAGCGGGAAUGUGAUGGGGUGUCUUAAAUAUUACUUCUAUGGUCCUUAUAACAAACUGGAGCUCGUUCCGGCAACUUUUAAAAGCAAUUCUCACAAGGUCACUUCUUUAGGCUAAGGAACAACACACUUUCCUGAAUCAUUAGUAGGAAUGUGUUAGUAGGAAUGUGAUGCAGUCUUAAAUAUUACUUCAAUGGUCCUUAUAACAAACUGGAGCUUGUGCUGGCAACUUUUAAAAGCAAUUCUCACAAGGUCACUUCUUUAGGCUAAGGAACAACACACUUUCCUGAUUCGCUUUCACACAAUGAGGCGAGAGAAAGGUCGUAACUAACUUCACUUUCUCAUAAAUAUACCAAAAGAGAUGCCACAGUAAUUAUUUGUAUAGAGUCCACGACAGGACAUCAAGGGAAAAAAAUGAUACCUCUCGAUGAGCAGACUUGGAUAUGAAAACUAAGACAGCGACGGUAGAGUAAGAAUAAGGAGCGGAGACAAAGAGUACGGAAGGUGAGCAAGUAGUGAAGUUAAUAUUGCUUUUGACAGUUGAAGGAAUGUGUUGUUUUGGUGACUCUGGGGCACAGGAAUACGGUUAGUCCGGUAAUACUAUACAAGGUUGGAAGUUGUUUGCUAGUGUGAUAUUUGUUGAUAGUGUUGUUGUUAUUGUUAUUGUAGUUGUUGAGUGUGAAGCAUAUCAGCUGUUUAUAAUGUGUUGAUGUCAUUGAUAUCAGCUGUUAGUGUAGAUGUUUUGUUUACGUAAUGUUGUUAAUGUAUAUAGUUUGUGCAGUGUAAUGAGGUUGAGAACAUCUUUUGAAGUGUUUAUGAUGUCUGAUAUUUGUGAGCAAUGUUAAUGUUAAAAAUGGUAACUGGUGUAGUGGUUGAGAAUAUAAUAGGGUAAUGUUAUGCUAUUGGUUAUUCUUCCGUAAUGUUAGUGUUAAAAAACGAUAAGUGUUUGUUUUGUGUUGGUAAUGUUUCCUGGAGGUGUGUGUACCAGUGUCUGACCUUACUUGUAUUGCUGCUGUUCUGUUUAUCUUAAUUCUACAACUACUAUUUUAUUACAUUACAGUCAUCCCUCAAAUAGUACGGUUUCCAAUAGUUCGGUUUUGGUUUUAUACGGAUUGUCACAGAAGACCUUUUAAGGAUUUUUAAAUUUCCUGCUUGUCGGGAAAUUUUAAAAUCCUAAAAAAAUCUUCCAUGAAAAUCCACAUAAAACCGAAACUGAACUAUUGGAAACCGUACUAUUUGAGGGAUGACUGUAUUUCUCUUUCAUUGCUUCUUCAUUUGGAUGGAUAACUGGACGGAUA